rnacentral:rRNA from 1 species
ACGAAGGGGGCUAGCGUUGCUCGGAAUCACUGGGCGUAAAGCGCACGUAGGCGGCUUUCUAAGUCAGGGGUGAAAUCCUGGAGCUCAACUCCAGAACUGCCUUUGAUACUGGAGAGCUUGAGUCCGGGAGAGGUGAGUGGAACUCCGAGUGUAGAGGUGAAAUUCGUAGAUAUUGGGAGGAACACCGGUGGCGAAGGCGGCUACCUGGACCGGUACUGACGCUGAGGCGCGAAAGCUAGGGUAGCAAACAGGA